GACGAACGCUGGCGGCGUGCUUAACACAUGCAAGUCGAACGGUAAGGCCCUUCGGGGUACACGAGUGGCGAACGGGUGAGUAACACGUGGGUGAUCUGCCCUGCACUUCGGGAUAAGCCUGGGAAACUGGGUCUAAUACCGGAUAGGACCAUGGACUUCACGGUUUGUGGUGGAAAGCUUUUGCGGUGUGGGAUGGGCCCGCGGCCUAUCAGCUUGUUGGUGGGGUGAUGGCCUACCAAGGCGACGACGGGUAGCCGGCCUGAGAGGGUGUCCGGCCACACUGGGACUGAGAUACGGCCCAGACUCCUACGGGAGGCAGCAGUGGGGAAUAUUGCACAAUGGGCGCAAGCCUGAUGCAGCGACGCCGCGUGGGGGAUGACGGCCUUCGGGUUGUAAACCUCUUUCAGUAGGGACGAAGCGCAAGUGACGGUACCUACAGAAGAAGCACCGGCCAACUACGUGCCAGCAGCCGCGGUAA
rnacentral:rRNA from 1 species